AGUAAGCUAUGAUGACACCACUGCACUCCAGCCUGGGCAUCAGAGCAAGACCCUGUCUCAAAAGAAAUUUUGUCUCAAAUUUUAAAAUAAUGUAUCAAAACAGGAAAAAAGUAACAACGGUGUCUCUGUUUUAAAUCAAGGAGAGGGACAUUGUCAUCUUCAUUAGAUUGUUUAUAUUCAGCUUGGUGUCAGACUACCGUGGUGGACAUUCUCGGGGAAGGUGAUUUGCCACACCACCAGGACCUACAUCUUGUUAAGGAGGAACCCAAAUGGAAUCAAGGAGUGGAACACAAAAAUCGGUUUCUUAUGCCUCUGCACUUCACUUUUCUCCUGUUCAUCCCACUCUGCCAUCAUUGCCUGCUUGCCUCCGAAUUGCCCACGACAGUGCAGUCUGGGCAUGGACCACACCUCCCAUGCAGCGGUGGCUUUGUGAUCUGUCUACCUGGGUAAGCUGAACCACACUUCCCAGAAUUCCCUUCCCGUGUAUUUCCGGUUAGAGUGGAGCACAGAGGAGAAACUUGUGGAAGGUUUGGAGGUGGGAAGUGAAGCAGCAGUCAUUUUACAGCUCACACGAAUUGUGGCUUCUCUGCUGGCUCACCUCAGCAGAGGCAGGAACUGACACGGGGCUGGGUGCGGUGGCUCACGCCUGUAAUCCCAGCACUUUGAGAGGCCAAGGCAGGUGGAUUGCUUGAGACCGGGAGUUCAAGACCAGCCUGGGCAACAUGGCAAAACCCUUCUCUACAAAAAAUACAAACAUUAGCCAGGUGUGGUGGCUCAUGCCUGUAGUCCCAGCUACUUGGGAGGCUGAGGUGGGAGGAUUUGCUUGAGACCAGGAAGGUCAAGGCUGCAGGGAGCUGAUUGGGCCAUGACACUCCAGCCUGGGCAACAGAAUGAGACCCUGUCUCAAACAAAAAAGAACUGACACAGACGGAUGUGUCUGCCUUCAAGGGCUUCCACUUGGGCUUGUCCUCCCUUACUUUACAUCCGUCUGUCCCUCCCAAUUGUCUGCAGAGCCUGCUUAAGCAGCCCCAGUGCCAGUGACUGUGUAAGGUCAAAUUCCCACAACAAAUCUCUUCAAACAAGUACCUCGUAGUGGUUCUGCUUCUCUGAUGAAACCCUGAUGGGUACACACUCAUUUAUUCAUUCAACCAAAAAAUAUUAACUGAUAAAAAAUACUGAACACUACCAUGCACCAGAUACUAGGUGCUAGGUAGUGAAUAAAACAAAGUUCCUGCCA